rnacentral:rRNA from 1 species
AGUGAACGCUGGCGGUAGGCCUAACACAUGCAAGUCGAACGGCAGCACAGUAAGAGCUUGCUCUUACGGGUGGCGAGUGGCGGACGGGUGAGGAAUACAUCGGAAUCUACUUUUUCGUGGGGGAUAACGUAGGGAAACUUACGCUAAUACCGCAUACGACCUACGGGUGAAAGCAGGGGAUCUUCGGACCUUGCGCGAUUGAAUGAGCCGAUGUCGGAUUAGCUAGUUGGCGGGGUAAAGGCCCACCAAGGCGACGAUCCGUAGCUGGUCUGAGAGGAUGAUCAGCCACACUGGAACCGGGACACGGUCCAGACUCCUACGGGAGGCAGCAGUGGGGAAUAUUGGACAAUGGGCGCAAGCCUGAUCCAGCCAUACCGCGUGGGUGAAGAAGGCCUUCGGGUUGUAAAGCCCUUUUGUUGGGAAAGAAAAGCAGCAGGUUAAUACCCCGCUGUUCUGACGGUACCCAAAGAAUAAGCACCGGCUAACUUCGUG